rnacentral:tRNA from 2 species
GCUCCCGUGGUGUAGCCCGGCUAAUCAUAACGGCCUCUCGAGCCGUAGACCCGGGUUCAAAUCCCGGCGGGAGCA